GUAGGGUGCGAGCGUUGUCCGGAAUUAUUGGGCGUAAAGAGCUCGUAGGCGGUCUGUCGCGUCGGCUGUGAAAACCCGGGGCUCAACUCCGGGCCUGCAGUCGAUACGGGCAGACUAGAGUUCGGUAGGGGAGACUGGAAUUCCUGGUGUAGCGGUGAAAUGCGCAGAUAUCAGGAGGAACACCGGUGGCGAAGGCGGGUCUCUGGGCCGAAACUGACGCUGAGGAGCGAAAGCGUGGGGAGCAAACAGGAUUAGAUACCCUGGUAGUCCACGCCGUAAACGUUGGGCGCUAGGUGUGGGGAGCUUUCCACGCUCUCCGUGCCGUAGCUAACGCACUAAGCGCCCCGCCUGGGGAGUACGGCCGCAAGGCUA
rnacentral:rRNA from 1 species